UGAACAACAAACAUAGUAAAAGCAACACAAAAGAACUACCAUAGGUUUAAUUGAGAUCAUUUUUCAUUUUUAUGCACUAAACGAUAUUCAGCAACACAUAAUGCAAAUGUCCUGUGCUACUGUAAGGGAGUGAAAUAUCAUAGGCGAGUCGAGGCAAUCCGGCAUCCGUGUUCAAGCUACGGAUAGGCGGUGGCAAGUUGUUCCAGAUUUUGCUCGCGGAGUACCGGAAACUGCCUCGAAAACUAGCGGAGCUGUGCUUAUGCUGUUUGAGCAUGUAUGUGGUCGCCCUGGUACCAUACGAGGUAUUUUCGUCUCUCGCCCAUCGCAGUUUUUUGUAAAGGUACAAGGGUUCCUUAUUUUUUAUAAUGCCAAAUAAAAGUGUUGCUAAAUGUAA